GAUGAACGCUGGCGGCGUGCCUAAUACAUGCAAGUCGAGCGAACAGAUAAGGAGCUUGCUCCUUUGACGUUAGCGGCGGACGGGUGAGUAACACGUGGAUAACCUACCUAUACGACUGGGAUAACUUCGGGAAACCGGAGCUAAUACCGGAUAACAUAUUGAACCGCAUGGUUCAAUAGUGAAAGGCGGCUUUGCUGUCACUUAUAGAUGGAUCCGCGCCGUAUUAGCUAGUUGGUAAGGUAACGGCUUACCAAGGCAACGAUACGUAGCCGACCUGAGAGGGUGAUCGGCCACACUGGAACUGAGACACGGUCCAGACUCCUACGGGAGGCAGCAGUAGGGAGUCUUCCGCAAUGGGCGAAAGCCUGACGGAGCAACGCCGCGUGAGUGAUGAAGGUCUUCGGAUCGUAAAACUCUGUUAUCAGGGAAGAACAAAUGUGUAAGUAACUGUGCACAUCUUGACGGUACCUGAUCAGAAAGCCACGGCUAACUACGUG
rnacentral:rRNA from 1 species